rnacentral:tRNA from 1 species
UUUGGGGCUGAGAUCUCCUCUCCAUCGGGAUUAGAACCCACGGGCCGGUGGUCGCCCAUCCUCUGCCCUUAAGCGCUUAGUACAGUGCUUGCACACAGUAAUCGCUUAAUAAAAACAUGGCCGAAUUGGUCCCAGUUAGACGAUGGGUUCCAUGUGGAUUGUGUCCAACCUGAAUACCUUGAAUCGACCCCGGUGCUUAGAAUAGUGCUUGACACAUAAGGUCAUUAUAAAAUAACUGUAUACUUAAUUUAAAAAGUUAAUAGCGAAUAAAUGAGAGAAACUACAGGGAGCGAUUUGAGGGAACAGGGUACAAUUUUAGGGAGCGUAGAUUCCCUGGUGGUCUAGUGGCUAGGAUUCGGCGCUUUCACCGCCGCGGCCCGGGUUCGAUUCCCGGUCAGGGAAAUCCAUUUUUCACCAUGAUCCGUUGUUCUCAUUCAAUCCCCUCUCUCCCAUUUGCCUAUUUGACCUUUUAGGGAAUUGAGGGAACCCGAGCUCACUGUGGUCACCACGCUGAGGCGAGCCAGGGGAGGGCAAAGGAAGUCGUUCACUCCUGCUCCUAUGGACCUCUCCCUUGCUCGGUUUAUAGAACACGGUAAGAGCUCAGUAAGUCAUACUGAUGAAUUGAUUGCUUAUAGGUUUUGAGGACCGUUUUGACGAUUGCAGAAUUGUGGAAAACCUCUCGGUGCUGGCUGAAUAAUCAUUUACCCUUGGUGUCCUAUUGAGAUUCAUCAAGGAAAAGGAAGAUGGAAAUGGACACCGGUUUCUAUGUGGCCAGGAAUCCUUGGAUCCCGUGUCAUUCUCCGCAGAUCCUCGCGGCUGAGGCCUCGGAGGAAAUUCCUUAAAAACCCAGGACCGGCCCAGUUCCUUUCGGAAACCCUCAGGUCUGGAAGAGGAAGCAAUCCUAAUGGGUAGAAUGAAGAGCGGUUGGGGAAUAACAAGAGGUGCUCCAGGUGAAGCUCGAACUCACAACCUCGACAUCGCCCACGCCCGUACCGCCCUAUAAGUACCGCACGCUAACCGACUGC